rnacentral:rRNA from 1 species
AGUUGCCAGCAUUCAGUUGGGCACUCGUAGAGGGACUGCCGGUGUCAAACCGGAGGAAGGUGGGAUGACGUCAAGUCCUCAUGGCCUUUAUGUCUAGGGCUACACACGUACUACAAUGGCCGGUACAAAGGGCAGCCACUCAGCGAUGAGGCGCUAAUCCCAUAAAGCCGGUCUCAGUCCGGAUCGCAGUCUGCAACUCGACUGCGUGAAGUUGGAAUCGCUAGUAAUCGUAGAUCAGCAUGCUACGGUGAAUACGUUCCCGGGCCUU